rnacentral:misc_RNA from 1 species
CGUCCUCAGAUGAAGCGGUGGCGGACAGCAAACCUGUUCACCCCAGCGGAGGUGCAGCACGCCUUUGCGGCGCUGCACCGGAAUGCGGAAACUCUCUACGGUGUGUCCGGCACGAGCAGCCCACUCCGCCCCUUCGUUCGUCGACGUGGUGGCGCGCGUGGGCACCGCCGCGAUCACAUCGAGCUGCCGCUGCACCACAUGUACGAGGCCAGCACUGUGUACGAGCAGUUGCCCGUCGAGGUGAGGCUGAUAUGUGGUGGCCUACACGAGGCCGCUCUCAGCUACGCGCAGGAAGCGCUGCGGGAGCGGGGCGUCUCCUCCGCCGCCCGCGACGAGAUCCUCAGCAACUUGGGCCGGAAAUCCGUGCUGCGGGUGCUACGGUACCCAGCAGGCUCUGGAUGUCGACCACACGUUGAUCCUGGCUUGUGCACUGCCUUACUCGUGGGGUCGGCAGGUGGCCUGGAGGUGAGCACAACCGACGCGGUGCUGACGCCCUUCGCGAGCCGGCCGGGGUGCAACACGGCUCAUGUGACCUCCUCGCCAACAUCCAUGCGCGGUGAAGCGUCGAAUAUGCCGGGAACGCUUCCGCACUGGGAGCCGGUCCUGACCGCGCACACCGGAGCGGCCGUCGUCAUGGCAGGAAAUAUGCUCGGGGCGGUGUCGGGAGGCGCUCUGCCCGGUGUGUUGCAUCGGGUGCGGCGGGACUGGGUCGCCGAAAUACCGCGGACAGAUGGACAGCGCAGCCCAUCUCUGCACGCCGCAUGUGUCGUGGGUGGAGCGGAUGCGGAAACGCACGCAGGCAGCGGGGUCUUCCGCUUCAACGUCAUCGUCGAGUUGCGACCGGCAUACGCGAAGCGCUGGUACACUGCGACGUCGGGGCAGCCGCCGUUGCCAUCCGCUUCAUCUCCGUCAUCACUGGCAUGAGGGGUGGAGGGAGAAUGACGAGACGCACACGGGGCCAGUCGUCACCGUCUCUCUAUCUGUUACGACAUCCGACGUUCGCCUCACAGAGAGCCCAACGGCAGACAAGCAUAGACAUACGCGUACACGCAUGACGUCACGCGCGCCUCGCCCCGAUGAUGUCGUAUCGUUCGGUGGCACCGCUUGCACAACCUGCUCCCUUGCCCACCAGCUCCAUGAGUAGCGGCGGGUCUUCACGCUUUCUCAGAUCGCUCUAGCCGGCGCACAUUUUUGGUGCCCUUUUCUUGUUUUAGUUUUUCAAUGGAGAAGGGUGAUGCUGUCAAGCCACACUCAUCCGCGUGUGGCUGCCUCCCUCUCUCUCUCUGUUGAGCCCGACUCUCCUCUUCCCAUCCCUCCCUCCUUUGUUUUUUUUCUCUGCCUGCCUGCCUUCCUGCGUGCGUGCGUAAG